rnacentral:siRNA from 1 species
UAUGUUAGGAUGGCUAGUUGUG